rnacentral:tRNA from 1 species
GCUAAUAUGGCAGAUAAGUGCAAUGGAUUUAGAAUCUAUAAAUAUAUAAUUUUGGUUUAUAUAAUUAGUA